rnacentral:sRNA from 1 species
CCCUAGCCCCAAUACGAGUGAAAUCCUAUGCGCCGGGGGUUCCGGCGCAUAGAUUGGAACGGAUAGCGGAAAAAGCU